rnacentral:rRNA from 1 species
GACGAACGCUGGCGGCGUGCCUCAGACAUGCAAGUCGAACGCGAAAGUCCCCUUCGGGGGACGAAGUAGAGUGGCGCACGGGUGAGUAACACGUAGGUAAUCUACCUUCGGAUGGGGAAGUAACAACCGGAAACGGUUGCUAAUACCGCAUAAUGCAGCGGCACCUAAUGGUGACAGUUGUUAAAGCGGGGGAUCAAAGACCUCGCGUCUGAAGAGGAGCCUGCGGCGGAUUAGCUAGNGGUUAAGGUAAUGGCUUACCAAGGCUACGAUCCGUAACCGGCCUGAGAGGGCGGGUCGGUCACACUGACACUGACAUACGGGUC